rnacentral:rRNA from 1 species
GACGAACGCUGGCGGCGUGCUUAACACAUGCAAGUCGAACGGAAAGGCCCUGCUUUUGUGGGGUGCUCGAGUGGCGAACGGGUGAGUAACACGUGAGUAACCUGCCCUUGACUUUGGGAUAACUUCAGGAAACUGGGGCUAAUACCGGAUAGGAGCUCCUGCUGCAUGGUGGGGGUUGGAAAGUUUCGGCGGUUGGGGAUGGACUCGCGGCUUAUCAGCUUGUUUGUGGGGUAGUGGCUUACCAAGGCUUUGACGGGUAGCCGGCCUGAGAGGGUGACCGGCCACAUUGGGACUGAGAGACGGCCGAGACUACUACGGGAGGAGGCAGUGGAGAAUAUUGCACAAUGGGCGGAAGACUGAUGCAGAAACGCCGCGUGCGGGAUGACGGCCUUCGGGUUGUAAACCGCUUUCGCCUGUGACGAAGCGUGAGUGACGGUAAUGGGUAAAGAAGCACCGGCUAACUACG